rnacentral:lncRNA from 1 species
UUUUUUUUUUUUUUUUUUUUUUUUUUUUUGAGACAGAGUCUCACUCUGUCUCCUGGGCUAGAGUGCAGUGGUGUGAUCUCAGCUCACUGCAACCUCCAUCUCCCAGGUUCAAAUGAUUCUCCUGCCUCAGCCUCCUGAGUAGUUGGGACUACAGGUGCACAUCACCAUGCCUGGCUACUUUUUGUAUUUUUAGUAGAGACGGGGUUUCACCAUGUUGGCCAGGCUCGUCUCAAACUCCUGACCUCAGAUGAUCCACCUACCUCAGCCUACCAAAGUACUGGGAUUACAGGCGUGAACCACCGUGCCUGGCCCUAGUUUCUUUUUUUUCUUUUUUUUUUUUGAGAUGGAGUCUUGCUCUGUCGCCCAGGCUGGAGUGCAGUGGCACCAUCUCAACUCACUGCAAGCUUAGCACCACCACACCCUGCUAAUUUUUGUAUUUUUUGUAGAGACAGUGUUUCACCGUGUUGCCCAGGCUGGACUUGAACUCUUGGCCUCCCAAAGCGCUGGGAUUACAGGCAUGAACCAUGGUGCCCGGCUGCCCUUUAUGGGGUUCAGCCAGUGGAAGGCACCAGCUAGAGAUUGGCAUGCAAGAGGUGCUGAGGCUGUGUGACCUGGCUCCCUUGAGGGCAGACCAGAGAGUGAAGAGAGGCUGGGAGGGAGACUUGGUCAGGUGAGCAGCCAGCCAGCAGGAGCCUCCUUCAGAGGAAGAUGUGGGUUUAUUUCUCUCUCUUGCUCUCUCCUAUGCGGAAAGCUCUUCACUGCUGCUCAGCCCUGGAGAGGCGGGAGAGGGGCAAAGCUCCCCCCAACCCCACAACCCCUUGCAAGUGAUUGCUAAUAUUUAUCAUGUGUUUGCCAAGUGCCAGGACAAUGCCAAAUACCUCAAAGGUGUUAGCUCAUUUUAUAUUUGCAGGAACCCUAGGAGGCAAGUCCAGUUUCCAGAUGAGGGACGUUCAGGUGCGGAAGGAGUAGCUGUCAAGGUCACGCAGCAAUGCAGGUGCAGUCGGUGGCAGGACUAGAUAUAGAAACUCCUGUUUUGGCACAAUCCACACUCCAUUCCUCACCCCGCCCCCAACACUGCAUUCUGCUGCAGGGCCAGGCCGUGCCACUGAGAGGUCACCAUCUGUAGCACCUGCCUGGCUGCCUUGAGGUCUAGAGUCCUGGGACUGUGACAGGACCAGGUAGGUACCAGCUGGGAGGCAGGCCAUCCAUAAAGACCUCAUGGGUGCUGAGCAGGCCUCGCUGGGCAUGGAAAACAGCCCUCCCUACUGCACCACGGGUCACUGUUGUACCUGGGGAGGGA